rnacentral:rRNA from 1 species
GAUGAACGCUGGCUACAGGCUUAACACAUGCAAGUCGGGGGGAAACGACGGGGAAGCUUGCUUCCCCGGGCGUCGACCGGCGCACGGGUGAGUAACGCGUAUCCAACCUGCCUCUGACUGAGGGAUAACCCGUCGAAAGUCGGCCUAAUACCUCAUGGCAUCGUCUGCGGGCAUCCAACGACGAUUAAAGAUUUCAUCGGUCAGGGAUGGGGAUGCGUCUGAUUAGCUUGUUGGCGGGGUAACGGCCCACCAAGGCUACGAUCAGUAGGGGUUCUGAGAGGAAGGUCCCCCACAUUGGAACUGAGACACGGUCCAAACUCCUACGGGAGGCAGCAGUGAGGAAUAUUGGUCAAUGGGCGGGAGCCUGAACCAGCCAAGUAGCGUGCAGGAUGACGGCCCUAUGGGUUGUAAACUGCUUUUAUGCGGGGAUAAAGUGAGGGACGUGUCCUUCAUUGCAGGUACCGCAUGAAUAAGAACCGGCUAAUUCCGUG